rnacentral:rRNA from 1 species
UACAGAGGGGGCAAGCGUUAUUCGGAAUUAUUGGGCGUAAAGGGCGCGUAGGCGGCUUUGCAAGUGACGGGUGAAAUCCCUCGGCUUAACCGAGGAACUGCCUGUCAGACUGCAUGGCUAGAGUCCGGAAGAGGCGAGUGGAACUUCCCGGUGUAGCGGUGAAAUGCGCAGAUAUCGGGAGGAACACCGAUGGCGAAGGCGAGCUCGCUGGGACGGUACUGACGCUGAGGCGCGAAAGCGUGGGGAGCGA